CCUACGGGAGGCAGCAGUGGGGAAUUUUGGACAAUGGGCGCAAGCCUGAUCCAGCAAUGCCGCGUGAGUGAAGAAGGCCUUCGGGUUGUAAAGCUCUUUUGUCAGGGAAGAAACGGUGGGGGCUAAUAUCUCCUACUAAUGACGGUACCUGAAGAAUAAGCACCGGCUAACUACGUGCCAGCAGCCGCGGUAAUACGUAGGGUGCAAGCGUUAAUCGGAAUUACUGGGCGUAAAGCGUGCGCAGGCGGUUUUGUAAGUCUGUCGUGAAAGCCCCGGGCUCAACCUGGGAAUUGCGAUGGAGACUGCAAGGCUUGAAUCUGGCAGAGGGGGGUAGAAUUCCACGUGUAGCAGUGAAAUGCGUAGAGAUGUGGAGGAACACCGAUGGCGAAGGCAGCCCCCUGGGUCAAGAUUGACGCUCAUGCACGAAAGCGUGGGGAGCAAACAGGAUUAGAUACCCUGGUAGUCCACGCCCUAAACGAUGUCUACUAGUUGUCGGGUUUUAAUUAACUUGGUAACGCAGCUAACGCGUGAAGCAGACCGCCUGGGGAGUACGGUCGCAAGAUUAAAACGUCAAAGGAAUUGACGG
rnacentral:rRNA from 1 species